UGGCCACGCCACCGUCACUCUCUCGAGCGCAGCAGCAGAGUCGUGUCGUUUCCUCCGAGGGCAGCAGCAGUCACCACUGCCACCGCCGCUUUCUCGAGCGCAGCCGUCGCCGCUCCCUUCACGCUGCCGUUACCGCGCACCGGACCACGCGCACCCUCUGCGCCGUCGUCGCCGCUCCCUUUCUCCGCGCAUAGGAACCAUCGUCGCAUCUCCCAUUUUCCGGAAGAAGCAACCGCCGCCGCUGCCGCUUCCUUUCUCCACGUGCAGCAGCUGUGCUGCCACCACAGCUCCCUCCCUCCGCAAGUUGCCGCUGCGCCGCCAUAUGACCGUGCGAGGCGUGGCGUCGGCGCCGGCGGGCGGAGGCGGCUGUUCGGUGCGUUCCGGCGGCUGCGGGUGCGGUGGCUAGUGGCGUUGUACCGCCGCUCGCUGCGGCGGCUGCGCGCGUACUACACCAAGGCGGUCCAAGACUUCCUCGAGGGCGCGACGGCCAUGAGCACGCUGCAUGCACUCGACAUGAAGAAAUGGAGCAGUAGCACCGGUGACGGCAGGCGAGCGAAGGAGCGGCGGCGACAGGCGAGCGCAGCUGGUGGAGCGGCGACGGCGGGCGAGCUUAGGAGGAGCGGCGGCGGUGGCAGGCGAGUGUGGCGGGCGGAGCGGCGACGGCGACGGCGACGGCGGGCGAGCUUAGGAGGAGCAGGAGCGGCGGGCGAGUGCCACGACGACAGGCGAAGCGGCAGCGAGCAAGGUUGAAGGCAGCGGUUGAGAGCAGAGAGAGAAUGAGAGAGGGAGUAAAGGAUAUGGAAGAAAAAAAGAAAAAGAAAAAAAAUCAAAGGGUAGAACCGUACUUACAUAGCUGUUUCUCUCUUCAAUUUUUCCAGAUAUAAUAAAAUAAUCCCACGGGUGUCCAGCAGCUAA